CCUACGGGUGGCAGCAGUGAGGAAUAUUGGUCAAUGGGCGGGAGCCUGAACCAGCCAAGUCGCGUGAGGGAAGACGGUCCUAUGGAUUGUAAACCUCUUUAGGCGGGGAGCAAUGCCGGGCACGUGUGCCUGGUGGGAGAGUACCCACAGAAUAAGCAUCGGCUAACUCCGUGCCAGCAGCCGCGGUAAUACGGAGGAUGCGAGGGUUAUCCGGCUUUAUUGGGUUAAAAGGGUGCGUAGGCGGAUUUUUAAGUCAGCGGUAAAAUGUGCGGGCGAACCCCGGGCCGGCCGUUGAAACUGGGGAUCUUGAGUGGGCGAGAGGUAUGCGGAAUGCGUGGUGUAGCGGUGAAAUGCAUAGAUAUCACGCAGAACUCCGAUUGCGAAGGCAGCAUACCGGCGCCCGACUGACGCUGAGGCACGAAAGCGUGGGGAUCGAACAGGAUUAGAUACCCGUGUAGUC
rnacentral:rRNA from 1 species